rnacentral:rRNA from 1 species
GACGAACGCUGGCGGCGUGCUUAACACAUGCAAGUCGAACGGAAGCGCCGUGCUUUCGUGGGGUUCCCGAGUGGCGAUCGGGUGCGUAACACGUGAAUAACCUGCCCUUGACUUUGGGAUAACUUAAGGUAACUGAGCUUACUCCCGGAUAGGAUACCCCCUUGGAUGGUAGGCAUUGGAUCGUCUCGGCGGGUGGGGAUGGAUUCGCGGCUGAUCAGCUUGCUGGUGGGGUAGUGGCUUACCCAGGAUUUGACGGGUCGCCGGCCUGGGAGGGUGACCGGGCACAAGGGGCCUGAGAGACGGCGCAGUGUCGUACGGGGGACAACAGGGGGGAAUAUGGUACAAUGGGCGGAAGCCUGAGGCGGCGGCGCCGCGGGUGGGAUGACGGCCUGCGGGUUGUAAACCGCUUUCGCCUGAGACGAAGCGGGAGUGACGGUAAUGAGUAAAGAAGCACCGGCUAACUACGUG